UUCAGUAUCGAACUGAAUAAAAAAUCGUUACAAACUCGUCCCGAUUUCGUGAGAUAUUCGUCACUUAUUUGAGGAACUCGAAUUUAUACCGAAAUCAUAACGAAUUGAUCGGCCAUUAUAUUUGCUGACCAAUUUCUCAACAGUAGUGUUUCAGCCCUUGUCAUGGGUUGAGGUCCUCCCAUGACAUCGUCUUACAAAUAGAAAAAAAAAAGUUUAAGAAACAAAAAUAUUGUUUCUAACAAUAAGUUCCCGGAUUCUCCUGAUGCCUCCCACUCAGAAAAGGAAGCCCACCCACAGAUCGCGACCGAGCAAGAUUGGAUCACCACAAAGUUCAUAUUCCAACGUGACCCUGGACCACGGCAUAUGACCGUCUCUCAACCAAAGACGAAGGAAGCAAGAGCUGCCCCAUCAACCCACUCCAGGCGUCAUCUAUUUUGUCAUCUGAUUUCUGGUCGUCCUGAUCAUCGUAUUAAUUUUAUUGAUUCG